AGAACCAGGGUGUGGAGGAGUGAGCAGGAGCCCAGCGAGGGUGCCUACAAGAGGAGUCAAAGGGCAAAAGGCAAGGCCCCUCCACCGGUCCAGCUGGACUCUCUAGCCUCAGGGACGUCCCACUCCUGGGGGCAGAGUGAAGACUAGGACAUGCGUGGCUACAUAAAGAUGGCCAAAGACUGGAAUAACAACUGCAGAAUCGCCAUGCUGGCCAGCCUUCCUACUGUGUGAGCUGAUGGAUGGUGAAGAGGAAGGACUUGACUGGGGAUGGCACAUACACGGGAGGAAUUCAUCUGAAAUCUACCAGCCCCUGCCGUGUGGGAUGCACACUGGAAUCACUGAAGAUUCAAGUGUGAUUUGAAUUCUGUGACGCUUUCAUACUGGUAAAUGUUACCACUAUUUUGAUUACUGCUAUAACCAGCUUUGCAUUAUUGAUUCACUGAAUGACUUUAGAUUUUUUUUUGCUUUAAAAGGAUGGAAAAAAUUUUACCUGUUUAAAUAAAACUUGAUUUCACUUGGA